ensembl:rRNA Gm22586 predicted gene, 22586
AUUCAUGGUCAUAGUGCCUUGAAUGUGCUUGAUCUCAUCUUAUCUCAGGAGCUAAGCAGGGUCUCAUUGCUUCACGUUUCUCUCCAUUUAGUUUGGUGUUGGCUACUGGUAUACUGUAUAUG